AGCUUCCUUUACUUUAAUUCUUGCCGAAGAACGCGUAACACUUAAAAUUUUAGAGCUCUCAAAAUGUGAACUGUAAUUGGCCGUUUGGGACGGUCCUAAUUAAUUUGGUAAAAUGUGAGCGCAAUUCUAAUGGAUUUACCGCUAUGAUAAUCUAGGCAGAAAGGUUAUGCACGAACAUGCUGCUGGGCAUUUAAUGGCUGUACGUGAAGUUGGCUGCACUCUUCGCUGGAUAAUAAUCCUGAAUUGGGUUAGUAUUCGUUUAACACGUGUUUUAUAUCCUAUUGCAUUUGCAAUGAUGAUCACUUAAACCAUUCACAGACACCAUAUAAAAGUUAAGCUCUGGCAAACUUCUUCAAUAUUUUUUUGAAGUAAGCGAGUCUUGCUUAGCCGGUUAUGGACCCUGGUUAAUAAAUUGGCACUGAGUCUUACACUUAAUGCACCAAUUAUGUUGUCAAAUAGCAAAUUUACUUAUGCCACGUUUUCUA
rnacentral:sRNA from 1 species